rnacentral:rRNA from 1 species
AUUGAACGCUGGCGGCAGGCCUAACACAUGCAAGUCGGGCGCGCGGCGGACGGGUGAGUUAUGUAUGGGGAUUUGCCUGAUGGAGGGGGACAACUACUGGAAACGGUAGCUAAUACCGUAUCCCAUCAGAUGACCCCAUAUGGGAGUGGCUUGUAGGUAAAGUAACGGCUUACCUAGGCGACGCGCCCUAGCUGGUCUGAGAGGAUGAGCAGCCACACUGGGACUGAGACACGGCCCAGACUCCUACGGGAGGCAGCAGUGGGGAAUAUUGCACAAUGGGCGCAAGCCGGAUGCAGCCAUGCCGCGUGUAUGAAGAAGGCCUUCGGGUUGUAAAGUACUUUCAGUCGGGAGGCGUUACCAGCAGAAGAAGCACCGGCUAACUCCGUGCCAGCAGCCGCGGUAAUUC